rnacentral:rRNA from 1 species
AUUGAACGCUGGCGGCAUGCCUUACACAUGCAAGUCGAACGGUAACGGGCCUUCGGGUGCCGACGAGUGGCGAACGGGUGAGUAAUGUAUCGGAACGUACCUUUCAGUGGGGGAUAACGUAGCGAAAGUUACGCUAAUACCGCAUAUUCUGUGAGCAGGAAAGCAGGGGAUCGCAAGACCUUGCGCUGAUUGAGCGGCCGAUAUCAGAUUAGCUAGUUGGUGAGGUAAAGGCUCACCAAGGCGACGAUCUGUAGCGGGUCUGAGAGGAUGAUCCGCCACACUGGAACUGAGACACGGUCCAGACUCCUACGGGAGGCAGCAGUGGGGAAUUUUGGACAAAUGGGGGGCAACCCUGAUCCAGCCAUGCCGCGUGAGUGAAGAAGGCCU